rnacentral:rRNA from 1 species
AAAUGCAAGUCGAACGGGUGUAGCAAUACACCAGUGGCGGACGGGUGAGUAAUGAAUCGCUAAUGUACCCCGGAGCCAGGGAUAGCUGCCCGAAAGGGCAGGUAAUACCUGAUGAGACCACGGUGCCGCAUGGCACAGUGCUCAAAGCAGCAAUGCACUCUGGGAGCAGGCGAUUUUGUAUCAGCUAGUUGGUGAGGUAACGGCUCACCAAGGCGACGACGCAUAGCCGGACUGAGAGGUUGGCCGGCCACAUUGGGACUGAGACACUGCCCAGACUCCUACGGGGGGCUGCAGUAACGAAUCUUCCGCAAUGCACGAAAGUGUGACGGAGCGACGCCGCGUGUAGGACGAAGCCCUUCGGGGUGUAAACUACUGUCAGGGGAAAGAAAGUUCUGAUCUACCCCAGAGGAAGGGACGGCUAACUCUGUGCCAGCAGCCGCGGUAAGACAGAGGUCCCGAGCGUUAGGCGGAAUCACUGGGCUUAAAGCGUGUGUAGGCGGAUUUGUAAGUACCUUGUGAAAUCCCACGGCUCAACCGUGGAACUGCUCGGUAUACUGCUUAUCUUGGGCCAUCUAGGGGCUAGCGGAACAAACGGUGGAGCGGUGAAAUGCGUAGAUAUCGUUUGGAACGCCAAUGGUGAAAACAGCUAGCUGGGGAUGUGCCGACGCUGAGACACGAAAGCCAGGGGAGCAAACGGGAUUAGAUACCCCGGUAGUCCUGGCUGUAAACGAUGUCGACUAGAUCGUGGUGGCUCUGACGCUUUCACGGUCGAAGCAAAAGUGCUAAGUCGACCGCCUGGGAAGUACGGUCGCAAGGCUAAAACUCAAAGGAAUUGAC